ensembl:lncRNA
CACUAAGUAACAAAACUAGCCAACUUGGUUGUGGAAAUAAUCAAGGCUGCAGGGCACCCCAUAGAGAUCCAUCAAAUCAGGUCUGGCAUAGAGCUGUCGGUAGGUUGAAAACAUUAAGAAAUCAAUGCUGCGUCUGCCAGUAGACCCUUUGGUUUGCUGAAACUCCCACCUGCCUAAUGCAUCUAGGCAAUUGCUUUCAGAAACCAGUUUCCUUCAGGAUAAAUUUUAUAUAUCUUGAGGCUCCAUCAUAAGCAAAUUGAUUAUAGCUCUGCACUGGGCAAACUCAUAAACAUCUGUAAGAGCACAGAUUUUCAGCAUAACCAGCACUUGGGUCUCCUGUUUUUUGAAGUAUUGAAAGUAUACAUUUCUCAUAGCUUAUGUCAGCACAGGAAAUUGAUUAAAGAAGACACGGUAUACUGUGAAUGUUUGUUCACAUGGUAUAACUUCAGCUGUUUCAGUCUGAAUCUGGCAAGUGUUCUCCAUCAUUACCUGCAGCGGUGAAGAGAAUCAGUAUAAAGUAGCAAUUUUUUUUUUGGAAAUAAUUUUUGUGAUAGGUUUUAAGAAGGCUGCUGUUUUGUUCCUACUUUGCAUGAGCCUGAUCCUGACCCUAAAUGAAAGGCAGCAAUGAGCUUUGGAUUAUCUAUCUAUGGAGUGGUAGGCCAGACAUAUUCUUCAUGCAGCUCGAGUACAAAACAGAACAUCUCCUCACUGUCUCAUAUGUUUGAAAUUAAUAAGUUUGUUUGCAGACAGGAUGCAAAAGGGAGUAUAGUAGCCAUUCAACAGAGCCUGGUCAAUGAGUAGUUUAUUUUUCUAGUGUCUCUAGUAACGUUUCACAUGCAUUCAUAUAAAUGGUGAUACUUGAAAGAUGUAAUACCGCAUGUAUUUAUCUUUCCUAUAAUUAGCUUGUUCUAUUUUUUUCCAAGGGAAAUUCCCUUUUCUCCUUCUGACUCCAGCCAGUACUAGAGGAUAUUACCAAGGGAAUAAAAUUUUAUGCCUAAUUUUAGUGUUCCUCUGCCUAAUGUGGUGUGAAUAAGUACCAUGUUACAGCAUUUAAGCCAGUCCAUCUUUGUCACUUCCUGAGCAAUUCCUGUUCAGAUAAAAGAGCCAAAAUUCAGGAAGAGGGAGAAUCCAAGAUCUGUUAUGUGGAUGAACUGCAGAGAGGGAUUCUUCUCUCUGUUGGCAUGGUUGCAUAGAUGCUCUGGCAUUCCUUUCAGAGCUGCAGCAGGGAUGUUCUCUGUAUAAGGAUCAGGGAAUGCCCAUAGAAAGGGUUCCCCAGGCCUCACAAUUCACUGUUAAAUCCGAUGUCUUAGUUUUCUGAUUUUUUUUUGAGUAGCUUAUGUCUGUCCCUCUUCUGAAUAAACAUUGUUGAUUUGUUUUAGUAACAUAUUUUCAGAGGAUUUCCUCUGUUGUCUGAAGCGGAAGAGAUUAAAGAAGAAACUGUUGAUAAAACCUUUGCAUACCUUGUGAUUGUCAUAUCCCAAGUGUAAAUAUCUAGGAUUGUUUUCCGGAUAUACGCAUAUUUAGUGAGAAAUAAAGCUGUUAUGUCAUAAAAAAUGAUAAGGUUGAGUACAGGGCUUUUUAUUUUCUGUGCAUCUUUUUAGUGUUCUUGGCAUGCUUAAGGCGAGUUGCUAUGAAUCCAGAGUGGUGUUUUUGCAGUGACUUAGUUAUGCAGCAUAGUUGGACUGAUUUAGUUGACGCUACAAAGUAAUGCUCAUGUUUUGUCAGCACAUACACACACACAGACCGUUCUGGGUCUUGUUAGUAAACAUCCAGAGUUCAUGCAAUUUAAGGAAAACUAACUUCACAGGCAGAUAAAAAAAAAUGUCUAUUCCAACACUGGUAAGAUGACUGCACAGGUUAUGUGUUUGUUACUUGCUUACUAAGACAAACUUACUAUGUUCAUCAGGAAAUUCAUAGUGCUCUGACCCAUUGGCGGUUGACCAUUCUGCCCCCAGUCUCAGACUCUAUUUUCCAGUGAUGGAAAAAACACUUCUCUCAGCCUUCUGAGUUAUUCGACAUGCUUGGAUCUGCUGGAGCUUAAGGCAUUACUCUAUACGGAAUUAAUGGAUCUCCAUGGUUUUGCAAUAUCGAAAGUUAAAGAUGCAGAGACUGUGAUGAGAGGAAUGAGUAACAAUGUCACACUGGGAAAGAAUCAAAUGUUCAAUUCAAAGGAAGCUGCCAGUGGAAAAACUGAGGUCCUAUUGACCAGUAAAAGGAAUUUGAUAGUAAGGAAAAUGAGAACUCCAUGAUCAUUUGGGUGUAUGACCUCAAAACAAAGAAGAGGACUUCAGAGAUGGUUAUGGACAGCAAACUUGUUGAGGAGGGGUACUCUGGGGAGCCAUGAGGGGUAUUUGAAGUCAGUAGUACUUCAUGAAUUCAAAGACCAUCUGGAAAAACAGGGAAAGCUUAGGUGGGUUUAUUCACAUGUGCUAUUUCUGCUAGUUCUUUCACAACUCUAGGAACUCACUGCUUCUCAGUUCUUUCAUCCUUCUCUCAGACUGGUGUCUUUAUGGGGACAGGGAGCAAAGAAUGUGCCUUUCAAAUAGUCAGUUUAUUUCAACAUUUCCAUGUGAACUGUUAACCAUAUGUAAAAUAUAGGUAAGAUGAAUGGAUCCUACCCAGUAUUCAUAAAUGUGUGUGCUAAGUACACAUACAUACAUAUACGUGUGUGUGUGUGUGUGGAGGGGGGGGGGCAGGGCAUGUAGAAUUUCUGUAGAAUUUCUAAAUUUUGAAGAUCAUGCAGGGGAAAAAAAAGUGGCAUUGAAGGAGAUAUCUAGUAUUCCACUAAAAUAGAUGGGAAAGAUUAGACUGUAAGCUGUCUUGUCACCAAGGCUGUGUUUUCUGUGAAUAAAAUGCAGACAUGUAGUGUGAACCUCCUUCCAUACAUGCAGUUCUUCAUUUUUCUGAGAGGAAACAAAAUAACUUUGUUUGUUUGUUUGGUUUGGAGAACUCACUACUCAUUGAAUUAAACAAUAGCAGCCAUCCAUUUUCAGUGGAUUUUCAGGUUAAUCUUUGGACGAACAUUCCCUUCUACCUUUAGGACACUGUCACCAUUUUUCAGCAUAUAUUUUUUAAACUUUGAGAGUGAGGUUUGUGGGAGGGCCUGUAUUGCUUCUCCAUUUACAGCAAAUUAUCCUGCCUCACCAUCACUAGCUCUGGAGCAGUCCUUGUUGCAGAAAGGCUGGUGAAGUGUCUGGGUAAACUCCAGCUGCUCUGAAGAACCUUCUCAGGGGCUCAGCACUUCACUAACAGACCAUUUUCUCGUCAUAUUUCAAGAUAAAAAUAUAUAUGGGGAGAUGGAUGAACACUUUUAUCUACAAUAUAUCCAACUUAAUGUCUGUUUUUUUUGUUUUUUAAAUCAGUUACCUUGGCCAAGAAGCAACAGAUGAUAAUUAAAGAAGAGGGUAGAUCUUUUGCAUAGGUCUCUGUCCCUGGUGACACAGUAGGUGGGAGAAAAGGCACACUUGAAUAGUAUACCUUGAAGUUUGAGUGUCCUGAUUCAGCAAAUACAGGCACUGCAAAGCAGUAUGCAGCAAAACACUUGGUCAUUUCAGUGCAAUGUCAUUUUGCUUUAUAGACAGCUCUGCGGACUGGGUCUAAUUCCAUAUGCCUUCUUUCUUUACUUUCUACCUGCCCAAGAGCCAGCCCAGAUUGCCAUAGUGAAAUUUCCAGUCAACUCCAGCAGAAAGUAAGGGUGUAUGACAGGAGUGCUCGUGUUAGUGACUCAUGCACUUAUUUAUCAUUUAACAUAUUUGUUAUGAUUAAUAAAGCUUUAUUUUGUGAAGACUGUGAUGUAUUUGAUCUGUUAAAACAAAAACAACUUCCUUUAUCUAUUCAUAGAAUGGCCUGGGUUGAAAAGGACCAUAAUGACCAUCUAGUUUCAAUCCCCUGCCAUGUGCAGGGUCACCAAAUUCUUGUCACUGAAUUCAGUAAAAUAUGGCUAACUUGAAAUUAAAAUUUUUAGCAGUUGUAGGUAUAGCUUACUAUAAGAGCAGAACGAGCAGUUUUAAAGCAGUGCUGCCAGUAACAGAUAUGAGCAUUUUCUUGUAAAGCUUCUAGAAAUUAUAUUCACAUUGACUCCUAUAGUUGCUCUUCUGUGUUCAGAAUCACCACUCUUUCUACUCUCACUGAAAGCAUCUUCAUUUUUGUUUUAGAGGCAUUUUUUAAUUUGCCAAAUGUACAUCAGAAACCAUUGGGCAAUUCCUGUAUCUUUAUUUCCAGAUGGCGCUUCAGGAGCUAGGAAAGAAAAGAUAUUCUGGGUUUUUGAAAAUUGUAGUUAAUAAAGUAAUGGUAUCACUGUAAAUAUUAUGGUCUAAAAAAUGGUUUUUGCAUUACUACCCUGCAAAAGCAUUCCUUAAAAUGAGAGCUUUACAUAGGUUUCAUAAUUGCACUGCAGUUAGUGAGCCACCAUUACUUAACCAACUCAACAGUGUCAUUUGUGUUUAUGCAGAUGGAAGUUAGGAGAAAGAGAAAAGAGGUAUUUUGCCUGCUAAAUUUUUUUUUUUUGCUUUCCUACACUUUGCAUGAGUAUCAGUUCUUACUCCUUUAUAAUAAUCAUGUUCACUACAGAUUUGUGAACACCAAAUUGCUAACCAGUUGUAGCAAUUGGGGUUUACAGGCUCCUAGAGCCAGUAUGCCUCUAGUUUUUCGGGGUAUAAAUACCUUUUAUUUUUAGGCAUUUGCACUGAAAGGUUCAUGUGAACUCAGCAAGCAAUUACAGGAACUAGAAUGACAGUGUCCUGUAUAUGAAAGCUUUGCUUCUGCUGUUGACCUCGCUAGAUUUGCAUCAUGAUUGUUCCAAGGGCUAAAAAUCAUGCUGUGUUUACCUGCCUGGUGAAUACCUGUGUUUUAUUCCUACUUCUACUUUUUGCCUCUAUCAUCUGCUUUUCCCCAAUUUUCUUCCUUUCUUGAAAAAUCUGCUGAUUAAAUUUAGGCUCUAUGUGCGGAAAAAAUAGACAUGAACCUAUGAAAGAGACAUAAGAACUCAAUUAGUUUGUGUAUAUUUCUAAUGCUGUUACAUACUCAGUAUGGAAAACCGGAAGCAUGAAAAUUGGGAAAUUAAGAAUUUAGGGAAGUUGAGUCUAAAUUCUUAACACUGCUUGGGCAGAGCGCUGGGAUCCCACAGUGCAUUGCCAGUUAUUUUGCCAAAAAUGUCUGCAAACUGCAUUGACUAUCCAGAAUUCCAAUAUAGUUUUGUCUACCAGAGUUAUUUCUGGAGAGCAUCAUAUUUGUAAAAGCCAUCAAAGUAGCACAAAUCAUAAACAAAUUGCUUCCCAAGAGCUGUAGGGUGGCACAGCUGUUUCUUUGAAAGGUUUCUGCUAUAGGCAGGACUUAAAAAUAAGGCCUAUUUCUCCUAUAACUGUUUUUCUUUCUCAUCUUUAGUAUUUUGACUUAAGGAUGCAAAGAAGUCAUGAGAUUUGAAUUGCCCCUUGUUUUCGACAGCUAGGGGAUGAAGAGAGAAAAUAUUGAGGACUGAAAACUGAGAAGGCAGAAUCAGUGCCUAUCAUGGCAAAUACAUAGUUGAUACAUUUUAUGGCUUUUCUGCUUGGAGAGUUACAGAUUUCAGAUCAUAGCUUAACAUUUUUUUAAAGAAGCAGCUUUGACCUGACUGCUAACUGUAACCCUAAAAUGACUAAAAGUGUCUCAGAUAGUGUUCGCACAUACUCUUAGCUGUUAUUUUCCUGCUGAAACAUCAAAAUGUUAGAGCCAUGGUAACAGCAAAAAGAAUUUGCCAGACAGCUUUAUUAGAACAAGGAGACAGUACAUUUGCAUGGAUACGUUCACAGAGCCGGUGGCCUAAUCCCGUUCCUGCUGUAGUCAUUCAAAAUUUCUUUAGUGGAAUAAUGCAUUUUGUAUUAGUUUCUAGGUCUGCCAGUUGUUAACCUACACACUUUUCCAGUGUGGCUUUCAAAGCAAUUACAUUUAAAAUAUUAAUAUUACAUUAUUAUAUUAAUUUUUGCUUUAUCAAUUGAAUUCUUGGUUGCUUUAUCAUUUUGCCCCGAAGUCUGAAUAGUAAAUUUGAGUUUGGCAUGCCAUAUCUGUAGGUAGUUUUUUUGAAUAACCAUAACCUUGGUUGUGGUGAGACUGAAAACAGUCUUUCCCCAAGAGGCAUCACGCCCGUGACAUAAGCCAAGAAGUAUUUUACUGUCCUCUCCAGAGGCAGGUUGCUGCACCUGUUUACAAGUAUCUUGAAACACUGAUGAUCAAAACAGGAUCAAAGUGAAAGGGAUAGGAUAUGUUUAUUAAGCAGCCUUUCUUUUUACCAAGCUCUGUGUCACUGUUAGAUUUUAUUGGUGGUAAGAUAGUUCUGGAAAAUUAUGUUUUUGAAUAUACUCAGCGGUUGCCACUUUUACUUCAGCUACCUUCAAGCUUUUUUGCUGCCUUGAACUCUGCACAGUGAUUUACUGACGUAAUUAAAAAAAAAAUCUGCAUGGAAAUGGAGAGCAUACAACUGCUUUAAGUACAUAAACCCUUCCAUGCAUCAUACGAGACAAUACACAAGUCUGAAUACAUUGCUGCAAAUCUUGAGAACAUCCUGCAUUAUUUAUUAAUAAUUGCAGCUGUCUGCUAGGUAGACUGGGAGGAAUUUUAUGCUUUAGGAAAUGAUAUGGCUGCUUGUAGACAGAUUGUAGCAGAAGAAGAUCCUGACUCCUGUAUGAUGUACUCACCUGGGUGCUCCUAUGGAACUUCAUGGGAAUAUUCAUCUGCUGUUCUGAAGUUAAACUUAAAUAUUUACCAAAUUAGAGUAUAAGCAUGCAAGUCAGAGAUCAAUUUUGCUACUUAGUGGAGCUUCAAGACUAAAGAAACUGCACAUUCAUAAAAAUGGAAGAACUUAGGAAGUUUCUGUUACAAAAAAAAACCAUAAGUGCGACAACAAUGGAAAAAAAAUACAAUAUUUAUCAUUCCAAAAUUGAAUAGUUUGAUUUUUCUACUAGAAAUGGCUUUUGCGAUACUUUCUUAAAUUAUCUUACAAAAUCAGCUACAGUGAAGUCCCAAAUACGUUUGAUUAAAUCACAUGGUCCCGUUGAACUCACAUGACUUUGAUACUAUUUGAUUUGCCAACCAUCUCAUUUUAAAUUAACAAGCAUAAAUAAGUUAACCUUGUAUAUCAAAACCUUUCUCAAGCUGCAGUUGCAGUGAUUUAUGUGGUACUAUCUCCUUCAAGUUUACUUAGUUCAAGAGGACUCAGAUCCACAUAUCUCUGAAGUCUGCUAAGUGGCUCAUUUUUCCAAGUGCUCAGCAGGCACUGCUGAAAGCCUCACGUCUGUAGGUAGGAGAUGUCAGAGAAUGGGAAUUCUCUCAACAUUGCGCUUCUGAAUUGGGCUUACAUAGUCAGAAGAUUAUUUUCAAAGUAGUUCUAAUCACUUGACAUUUACUUAAAGUCAGAAUUUCCUGUCUUGUCACUGUUUGGCAGCGAUGUAGAAAACAGAAUUGGAUUCACUGCAUUGCUUGGGUAACAUCGUGCAAGUUCUUUUGUCUUGUGUAAUGCUUUUGCAAGUGAACUAGCUAUACACUGCUUUGCAGUGAACUAUUAUCCUAAUGCUUUUGCUGUUUUUGCACUUUUCUACAUCUUUGUAAUAAUCAUUACAUCUUUCUAAUACAAAAGUCACUUUGCAAAUAGUUGAUGUGGCAUGAGAGCAGAUCUGCAGAUGCUACCACUAGCAUUUGUAGCUCACAUAGCUCUUGUUAGAGGCUUUAUUAUUUUUUAACAGUUACUCUGGGCCAGCAAAGGAAGGAAAGUUAGGAGGGCAGAUAAGAACAGGUCUCCCUUGAUGGACAUAAGUAUUAUGGUUUUAUUUAUUUAUUUAUAACUGUGAUAGACUCUGCAGCUUGAAGGGAUUUCAGUUUCAUGGUACCAGCUGGGAAGUAAUCCGUAGAAGAGUAACAGGUGCAAAAGUGUUAGAUCAGUCUUUGCACUAGCCUUUUCCUGGUGAACUGAUUGGUGGAGUGUGACUACAUUCCUUUUCUACUCAGCAUGCUUUUUACCCUUUCUGUCAUCUACUUAUUUAUUAAUAAGCCGGUAAGAGUAUUUCUCCAUCAAAUUGGUCAAUUUUGAAAGGUGGUUGAAAGGGGUGCAAAUAUACCUGCUUUCCAUACAUAGCCCUAUAAAUCAGUACUUUUACUCUACUAAUUUUGUGCUGUAAUAACUGUAGGAGUUACAAGGUGGUUGAGAAUAUUUUUUUUCUUCCCUUUCUCUAUUCUGAACUAUGAUUUGGAAAAGGAAAUUAUAUUUUAAAGCAUAAAAUCACACUUGUAUUACAAGUUAGAAAAGAUAUAGUCAGAAGCAAUUUGCCAUCCAUGGGAAGAGACCACAACUGGCCAAAUAAGUCCUUCCCAUUUUUACACUCUUUUUUUGGAAUCACAGAAAUUAUAGUGAAAGUUUGAAAAGAUGAGGAGUGCAAUGAAAUAAGUAGCUGUGUGCUUCAAUAAAUACAAACUGGAAACAGAACUGGGGUCGAAUGCACCCUCAGCAAGUUUGCUGAUGACGCCAAGCUGUGGGGUGAGGUUAACACACCAGAGGGAUGGGAUGCCAUCCAGAUGGACCUAGAAAGGCUGAGCAGUGGGCCCAGGUGAACCUCAUGAGGUUCUGCAAAUCCAAAUGCAAGAUCUUGCACCUGGGUCGAGGUAACGCCCAUUAUCAAUACAAGCUGGGGGGUACUGUUGGAUGGCAAGCUGGACAUGAGCCAGCAAUGUGCCCUUACAGCCCAGAAAGCCAACCAUAUUCUGGGCUACAUUAAAAGAAGUGUGGCCAGUGGAGCAAAGGGGGGGGGGGGGGGGAUCUUGUCCCUCUACUCUGCACUGGUGAGACCUGUGACAUAGACCUGUUGGAGCACAUCCAGAGGAGGGCCACAAAAAUGAUCCAUGGAAUGGAAGACCUCUCCUAUGAGGACAGGCUGAGAGAACUGGGGCUGUUCAGCCUGGAGAAGAGAAGGCUGCGAGAUGAACUGAUAGUGGCCUUUCAGUAUCUAAAGGAGAGCUUCAGGAAAGAAGGGGACAAACUUGUUACCAGGGUCUGUUGUGACAGAGCAAGGGGAAAUUGCUUCAAGCUCAAGGAGGUUAGGCUUAGGUUAGAUAUAAGGAAAUUUUUUUUUACAGUGAGAGUGAUGAGGCAUUGUUACAGGUUGCUCAGAGAUGUGGUGGAUGCCCAUGCCUGGAGGUGUUCAAGGCAUUCCUAAAAAGAGAAGUGAUGGGCAAGGGGAAAUGGUUUCAAGCUCAGGGAAGGUAGAUUUAGGUUAGAUAUAAGGAAAUUUUUUUUUACAGUGAGAGUGAUGAGGCAUUGUUACAGGUUGCUCAGAGAUGUGGUGGAUGCCCAUGCCUGGAGGUGUUCAAGGCAUUCCUAAAAAGAGAAGUAACGGGCAAAAUGGGACUACAAGAGACUUUUCAGAGUGCUUAUGACAGCUCUGCAAAAACUGCUUUCCAUUUUCUUACAGGUUAGUUCUAAUAGAUUUACUAAUAAUAGUUGAAAUUUGAAAAUUAUCAGGGGUUUACCCAUCCAAGAAUUGCUUGGUGAAGGAAAAAAAACAAAACAACAACAAAAACCCCACAAAUCUUUGAUGGAAGUUGAGAAUUGGUUAUUGCUCUUAAGUCAUUGCAUUUAUUUAGCAUACAUGAGAAAAAGCAAACUGUGAAAGGAUAUUUGAGUGAAAACCUGGCUGCGUUGUGUGAGACUUCAUCCAGUUUACAGGCUGAAUUAAUAUUUUCUCUUGUUAUUUGUUUUUGAAUUCUUUGAUCUUCCAUAGUUUCUUAGUCAUCUUUCACAAUAUAUUUUCAUUAAUUCUAAAAGAAGCUGAUUUAGACUAAUAAGCUGACCCUUUUUCAGUUCUGGACCAACAAUUCCAUUGCUGAAGUUACAAAAUGAUAGAUUUGUUCAGUUUUGAUAGUGAAACCAGUAUAGUAGUAUUAAAACCCAUCAGGAUACCUUUUGCAAUUCUAAUCAUGAACAAGUAAUUAGAAC